GCGCCGCGCUUUGCAAACCCUGAAAGUGCCCGCGGCCGCGCCUGCCGGGCUCCCGGGGGUAUGCACCCCUCCCUCCGGGUCAGUGCGAGACCCCCUGGACCAGGCGCGUCCUGAAACCCCGGCGCGCUCGCCCCCGCCUUAGGGAGGGGAAACCGUGUCAGAGCUCGGUUGCAGCUUGGUGAAGGAUGGCGCGGGUUCGCGGCUGCGGCGGGCGGGAAGGAACACAAAAAGCCCCUUUCUUUCCGCCUUCUCUCCCUCCGCCAGCUCCUGCGAAAUCCACACUGUAGAGUGGAUGCUGGGGGGGCUCGGAAGGUGCGGAAGAGAUGAGAGAUAAGGGUGUGUGGAACAAGGCACCUUAUGUGGGACGAGGUGGCCGAGUGGUUAAGGCGAUGGACUGCUAAUCCAUUGUGCUUUGCACGCGUGGGUUCGAAUCCCAUCCUCGUCGGUCGCGUUUUACACGGCGUGAGGGGUGUACUUUUCUGCUUUCCUGUAGGAAAGGGGCCAGAGGUUCAGCGGCACCCAGAAGACCCGAAUUGGAAUUCUGGCUGAUGCCAGAGUUGUGACCACUAUGUCAUCUGCAGUAAUUAGAGAGGCCCCUCGGGAGGUGCCACCCUAGUGUCCAAAGUAGUGGAAUUUGGAAAUGACCUAUCUCAGCACUUGCCACCUAGAGCUCCCUACAAGCGUUUGCUGAUGGCAGCUGGCUGCUUCUGAGGGAAUCUGGGCCUGCUGGCAGAGCUGUGUCAGGCUGGGGAGGUGGCAGUGCCCGGAGGACUGGAAUCAGGAGAGGAAGGAGCAGGUGCAGCCCAUCAGUCCCAGUAUUUGUUUCCAGCAUUGGAAGCCAGCUACAUACUGAUCUAAUGGGCAAGUUGGGCUGGGUCUGCCGGGAAGGAGGAUGGGAAGGUUGUGACAUCAUAAGGACCUCUGAGGGCCCCCAAAUGGACACCAGCCCGGGAAGGAGAGCAGCACCCACUUCCAAGUGGCACUUCCAGACCGAGGGGCACCAGCCCAGCAGAGCCUUGGGCCCGGCUCGCCAUUCCCCCUGCACGGGGGUCUCAGCUCCGAAGGGGUAGCGAAGAGAGAGCCGUGGGCGAGCCCGGAACGGAGCAUUCAGAGCAACGCCUUGAAGAGGAAGGAGAGGGCAGCUCCACAGGAGAGCCCCAGGGCCAGGAAGAAGGUCAUGAGGGUGCCGGCCACCUCCCUCUCAUGUGGCAGCACCUGCCUAGAACACACGGGAGUAGGCUCUUAGAAAACAUCGGGCCAAUCCUGGACCCAGCCCCAGUGCCCUGUGCCCCCCUUACGACAGGACACCUCACUUCAGUUUCCCGAUCUGUAAAACGAGGCCACUGACGGGGACAUCUCUCAUGCCCUGCAAGUGCAAUAUUACAGGACUCUAGACUCCACUGCCUUCCCUCUUGACAAAACGUCCCCAGCCUGGUUGUCCCCGUCACCUUUCCUCUCUCUGGAUUCUCAGCUCCGUUGUCCCUAGCGUAAAUAGUCCGUGAACCCUCCACUUUUGAUCAACACCUUCGCUCCCCUUCAACUGAGAAUUUGGGGGGAGUAGCUGGGCCCUAAGGAAUGAUAGUUCAACCCAUUUGUUUCACAAGUGAGGAAACAGGCCCAGAGAGGAGGUCCUAGAACCAGUGUCUGGGCUACUUUAUUGGCAGGAACCUCGGGCUGGGGCUUCCUCUCCCUUCCUGCCCCGGGGCCGGCUCGGCAGGGAAGGUCUGACCUGACAGGGUGGCUGGCACCUAGAGACAGCCAGGGCUGGGCUGGCGGGAAGCAGAGUGGACCCUCUCCUGCAGGCCGUCCCCCUCAAGAAGAGCUAGGCCACCUCCCCACGCCCAGGCCCACCCUCCCGACCCCCAGACCUGGGCGCCAGGCACAUGGUAAGGGACAUCAGGUAACCGUUGGACACCGCGAAGAGCAGCAUGAAAGUGAUGAAGUAGGCAUCCUGCGGGAAGAGGACGGGCAGGCGGGACCUCUCGGGCACGUGGCACAGCAUGAAGAGAGGCACGAAUAGGACGCGCAGGCAGACGAGCAGGGGCAGCAGCCGGCUGUCCUCAUCCGGCUGUGGCAGAAGCCGGGGUGAGGGAGGUGCCCGGAGCCCACCCCGGACAGACUGUCACUUCCCCUGACCUGUGACUCUACAUGAGCCGGUGAGGACCCGGCCCUCAGGCCUCCGGAGAGUGAGGGGCUGGGCCAAGGCCACCCAGCCAUCAGGGACCGGCCUGGGGCUCGCCUCUGCCCUUCCGAGCUCCAGCUUGGGCUCUCUCCGUGGCAGAACUGGAAGAGACCUUAGACACCAUCUUUGGUUUUCAAGCUGGGUUCCUCCAAGUACCCUUGGGGGUUCCGCAGACCCCUUCGGGGCACAUGGGGUUGCUGAAUGGGAUUGGAAGCCGGGGAUCCAGGCCCCAUCCUAGCUUGGAUCAGAGCAACUCCUCUUCAAUCUCCUUUAUUUAUUGUAUCUCCUUGGAAGAUUUCAUUUAAAGAAGGAGCACCUUGGCUAAAAGCAGUCCAAACACUA